rnacentral:lncRNA from 1 species
GAAGACAUACCUACACCUUAACAAGAAUUUGUACAUAAUUUGUAGUAUAAGACACACCUACACCUUUUCAUAUACCAAACCAAUCAAUAAAUUUUUAUUUUUUUUUUAAAGAUCGUCAUUGUCUUUUUUUUUUUUUUUUUUGGCAAACAGUCAGAAAUACCCUCAUUAAUCGAACCAAAAAACUGUUUUUUUUUAUUAACUUAGUAUAUGGAGUGAGCCUAUACAUCAAAUGUGAGCUAGGAGGAAUGAUAGUUUUAUCAUAAUUCUUUAUUUUUUUUUUGUUGUUUUAAAUUUCAGGGACAUCCAAUAUUAAAUGGCUGAUAUGGGGAUAUCAUAGUUUUGAGAGGUCAUAAGUAAUAACCUUUAUAUAUGUUUUUAAUUAUUUUUGUUUAUUUUGCAGAUAAUGUUUGUAUCUUAAAAUUUAAGGUAGUGACACCGUCUAAGGUCAUCAACAUAUGUAUGAUUUGCAGGAAUAAUAUAUUUAAGGUAGAUGAUGUUCAAAAUACUCAAGUCUUCUAAUUUGGCUAUAAAUUAAUAAAUAAAUGAUAUUAAUAAUUUAAUUUUAAUAUUCAUAUACUAUAAUUUUUUUGCAGUUUAAUAAAAAAAUAAAAUUAUUGGUGCCCUAGGAUAAAUAAUUUAAUUUUAUAUUAUGACUAAAAGUUACGAGUUUAAACUGUAAUAAUUUCUUUUACUGGAAAAGAUUUCUGAUGUUAAAUAGAAAAAAUUAUUUUCAAUAGUUUGUAACUUUGCUUUGCAUUACUAUUAAUUUAAUCAGAGCAUAUGGUAUAAACGAAUAAUUGAUAUAGCUGACAAUUAAUUUUGAACUAAUGUUAUAUUUAAUUGUGGUGGUUAUUUUUCUAGUCAUAAUCGGAAUUCAAAAAAAAAAAAAUCAUAUCAAUAAAUUAUAUAAUAAAAAAAUUACUGGGGCCCAGACAAAUAAUUUAAAUCAUAUUAUUACACAAAGUCUAAAGUUUAAAUUAUGAAAAUAUAUAUUGACAGUGAUUUUCGCAAGUGUACGAAAUCGCCACAAGUAAUAUAUGAUGACUAGAAUAUCGUUCCCACGAAGAUUGUAUACCAAGUACCAAAAUUUUGUUAAUCUAUUAUUAUUUAAACGAUAAAUGAGGAAAUUGCUUCAACAAAUGUAAAUUCAAUAAGUAAAAUAAGAAGAAGUCAAGCAAACAAAAUUUGAUUAGAGAAAUCAAGGAUUAAAAACUGCUAGGGAUUUUGAUUUCACUUAAUUCUAUCCAAUUUAUUUUAUUAGUUCAUUAAUCAAUUUUAAUUAUUCAAGUAGGGGAAACAACUCUAAAAUCACUAACAAGCUCUCCCGAUGUAUUAUUAGUUAUUUUAAUUCCGUUUAAGUACCUAUUUUCCAAUAGCAUAAUCAAACCUGAAUCAAAUCAUUAAGUUUUGUAGUUUGUUUAUAAAUUCAUAAAUUAAAGUUGUUAAUUAAUGAAAAUCCCCCAUGAGUCAAACCAUAUAGCUUCUGCAUCAAGUUAUUAUUCUCAUGUGAUUCAUUAACUUUUCAUAUCAAAAAAUCAUUCUUCCGAUGGUGAUUAAUGAAAUAAAUCAAUCCAGGGGAGAACCUCUGCCUGGAAGCACUAAGUUUAUCAAUAAAUCAUAACUUGAACAAAGAAAAACAAAUCUAAUAUUAUAAUUUGGAAAAGAAAUCAAGCUACAUCAAAUCCCUAGUAUGAGAAUUUAGUUAGACAUAGUGCUUAAAUAAAACUCAAUAAUACUUGAUAAAUAUUCCAUAAUCAAUAAGAAUAAUGAAAGAAAUAAAUAAGAUUAAGAGUUUAGAAAUAAGAACUAGUUAACAAUUGACUCUGAAUGGCUUCCUUGAAUCUUUGAACAACUCUUGAAUAUUUGAACUCUUAAAGAAAUAAAACUAUAUACAAGAAUAAGAAAUAUGAGAUCUGGUAUGAGAUAGAGUGGAAUGGGAUGCCCUGGGAUUAACUCUUCUUCUCUUUAUAUAGACUUCUUGGAAGAGAAAUCCACAUGGUUUAAUGAUCAAAGUCUACCUUUGUUAGGUGAUAAAGCUCUCUUUUAGGACUUAAAUUUCUUCAAUCAUGACUUACCCAUAUGCAUAGAUUAGAUCUUGAUUUGCAUGUGAAGAACAUUGUCCAAGAUUAGCUCCUGAAGUUGGUAAAAGUUGGUUGGCAAUUUUUGACUCAAUUUAGGCUUCUGAUGUUUGGCACGGGCGUGCUAGGAAGCACGGUCUGGGCGUGCCAGGCUUUGGCAUUGUAGAAGGCUCAGCACGGGUCGUGCUGUCUAGCACGCCUGAAUAGGGUCCUGUGGCACGGCCGUGCGCCCUAGCACGGCCUGGGCGUGCUAGGCUCUAGAAGUCUAGUGCAUGUGCAGCACGGGCGUGCUUCAGCGGACAAGCCCUAGGAUUGCAUCUCCAUAGUGGCACAGGCGUGCGCCCUAGCACGGUCAAGGCAUGCUAGGCUUUGGAAGUCCAAGGUAUUUGUAGCACGGGCGUGCUGUCUAACACGGCUAGGGCAUGCUAGAGUCUGACUAUUUGCUUGAUUUUCCUUGGUUCUUAGCACGGGCUGGGCAUGCUAAAAUAUUUUGCUUCAUUUUGUCCUUUUUUUGUGCAAAAACCCUACAAAUUUUCUUAAGAUAAAGUGAGUUGUGUUUCAAGGAAACUUUUAAAUGAAAACAUAACAAAAUUAAAUAAAUUAAAAAUACUAAAAAUCUUAAUAAAAAUUAUAUUAAAAAUACUAUAAAAAUAACACUAUCAUAUUUUUUUUUUGAUACGCAAUGCACAAUAAUAUCAGACAUGUGAUUAUUAGCAGGGCAUUACCAUAGCCUUAUCUCUUCAAUAAUGUUAACUUCCCUUAUCUUUUUUUGUUUUUUUUUUUUUUUUGCCGAAUGACCCGUAUCUUAUUAAUUUGAUUUAUAAUAAUUUAUAAUAGCAAUUUCUUUUAUUCACAGUUAGUAUCUAUAGAUUUUGUAGUUAUCAGUAAACCCUAAACCUAAACCUUAAACACUAUGUGCGGGCAAUUUUAUUGCAUUGGUUCCAUGUCUUAUCAGGCUUGUGGCUUUGCCGACAACUUAAUUUGUAUACAAAAGUACUCAUAUUCUUAUGAGGUGCAUCAACUUUUUUAUGUUAAAGGUAAUAAAUAUAAAAGUGAAGAAUGAAUAUUGUAUAUAUUAUUCCUAGUAAACAAGCGUUUAAAUACAAAGAGAAUAAACUGAAUUCCUUAGCAGUAGGAAUCAGUAACAAACUAAUCCUAUCAUAACAAUCUCAACAUAAUCAAAAUAAUACAAAGUCAAAGAUAUGGGAAGAGGUACAGAUAUACUGCUAAUAUGCCCCCCUCAAGUUAAACAGAGAGGACCAAUGUUUAACUUGUUCAGAUGACGACAAAACGCAGCAGAUGACAAGGGCUUAGUCAAAGUAUCGGCUAAUUGAUCUGCAGAAUGGACAUGUGAAACAGUAAGCAGUUCCCGAUGAACUUGAUCACGAACAUAAUGAAAAUCCACUGCUAAAUCCUUCAUACGACUGUGAAACAUAGGAUUCUCACAUAAAUAAGUGACUCCUAUGUUAUCACAAUAAAUAACAGGUGCCGUAGAAAGUCUGAUAACCAUUUCAAACAGGAGAUUACGAACCCAAGUUAUUUCAGAUACAGCACUCGCAACAGCACGAUACUCAGCCUCCGUGGAGGACCUCACAAUUGUUGUUUGCUUUUUAGAAGACCAACUGAUCGGAUUAUUGCCAAAGAAUUGAAUGUAGCCAGUGGUUGAGACACGAUCAUUAAUAUCGCCGGCCCAAUCUGCGUCAGAAUACAUGUGAAGUGACAGAGAUUUGCUUUUCUUCAGACAAAGGCCAUAGCGAAGAGUACCAUUAAGAUAUCUUAGAACCCGUUUGACAGCUUUCCAAUGAAUAGUAGAUGGAGCAUGCAUAAACUGGGAAAGCUUGUUCACUGCAAAGCAAAUAUCGAGACGGGUAAAACUAAGAUAUUGAAGUUUACCAACAACUUGUCGAUAUUUAGUGGCAUCAACAGGCAAGGAACCAUCAGAAACUGAAAGAACUGCAGAGGAGCUCAUAGGAGUAGCAGCUGGUUUGGAUUCCUGCAUGUUGGUUGUGUGAAGUAGAUUAGCAAUAUAAGUUGCUUGAGACAAGUAGAGACAAUCUUUCUGCCGCAACACUUCCACACCAAGGAAAUACUGCAAAUUACCCAGAUCUUUAAUAGAAAAAUGACUCUUUUGAGUUAUGAAAGCUCUGAUACCAUAAUAAAUAUAAAAGUGAAGAAUGAAUAUUGUAUAUAUUAUUCCCAGUAAACAAGUGUUCAAAUACAAAGAGAAUAAACUGAAUUCCUGAGCAAUAGGAAUCAGUAACAAACAAAUCCUAUCAUAACAACUCAAUCUCAACAUAAUCAAAAACAAAUAAUACAAAGUCAAAGAUAUUGGAAGAGGUACAGAUAUACUGCUAAUAAAAGGUGGAUAAUUGUACCAAGAAUCGAUUAAUUAUUACUCCUUUCGUUGUUUUUUCUGAGAAAAUUUUCUUUUUCGGUGUAUUUUUUAUAUAGGAAAAGUUAUUAUAAAUAGUAAUUUUGGAAUCUAAGUCAAGUUAAAAAGAUUAUAAAGCCCUCAAAGUACAUGUGUAUUUUUUAAGAAUAAAGCUCAACUAUUAAGGAAAGUGGCAGACAUGAAUAUUCUCACCAUUUAAUACACGCAUGUUUCAAGUGACAAGUUAUCAACUCAUUUUUUUUUAUUUUGUUUUAUAGUAACAACUGUCGUUUUUAUAAAUUUGGCCAUAUAAAUACAGAGUUAACCCUUAUUUGUAUGUCUUUGAGUGGGGAAGAUGAAAAUCGUACACUAAAUGAGCUAGUUACUCUUCCAAGAAGAGCUGGAAGAGUGUCUUUAAUUGCAGACAAUAAUGUUGAGAUUCUGAAAAAAAUUGAAUCCAAUUACUACUCUUUUGGCCACAUUGGUGGAAAAUAUAGAUCUAAAUAUUGAGCAAACACAGAAAAAUAGUGCCCAAAUUGAAUAUUUUAGUUAGUAAUAAAAAUUUAAAAAUAUAAAAUCUAAGACAAAACAAUUAAAAAUGUUUUUAAUUUUUAAAUUCAAAGUUAAAUUAACUAUUGAUUUAUUAUGUAUACAAUCAAUUGAAUAAAAAUAUAAUAUCUAAGUAUUAUAAUAAAUAAAUAAUACUAAAUGACAUUAGAUUUAUACGGAUAGAGAAAAUAAUAAUAAAUAUAAAAAUAAUACUAAAUAGAGAAGAGAUGAAAAAAAAACGUAGAAUUUUAAUAGAGAUAAUAAAACUAAUGCUUAUAUAUUUUGGAUAAAUAAAUGACAUUAGAUUUAUAUGAAUGGAGAAAAUAAUAAUAAUAAUAAUAAUAUAACUUUAUGAGGAUAAAUCUUAUAAAAAAUAAAAAAAUAGGAGGAAUGUAGAAUAAAAGCACGCACAAAUACAAAAAUCAUCAUACGUGGUUUUAUAAAAAUUUGUUUUUUAUUUUAAAAAACAGUUUCUUAAAAAGUAAAGAAACAAGUUUUGUUUAUUUUUUAAACAAAUAAGUUUUCAUUAAAAGGGCUAUAGGAAAUUUCAUUAUUUCCCGCUAUUCCCAUGUUUAUAUAAUAUAGAUUUUCAAGAUUUUUGUAAAAAGUGGCUUUUUGAAAAGAGAUUAAUUAGAAAGUAAUAGUUCACACGACCAAUAUUUUGUAAUAUUUUCAAAUAUUUUAUAAAAAAUGUAUGUCUUUUAUAAAAGGAUUGUUUGCCAAAUAAUUGGUAUGAUAAUUAAUAUUUUGUAAAGUUUUCUAACUUUUGGUAAAAAAUAGCUUUUUUUUUUUAAAAAAAAAAAUUCAAGUAAGAUUAAGAAAAAUGUUACUUGAAUCUAGUUCAAGUCAUGAUAACAAGCACGAUGAUAAAAGAUUGUCCUCCACCAAUCAUUUGGAUAGAGCACCAUAAUAAUUAUUCAAUAGGGCUUUGGAAAGGAUUCCAUUGGCUACGGUUCAAUAAUUGUUUUUCUCGUGGGUCCAAUGUGUAAAUUAUUUAUAAAAAUUUUUACUUCAACUUAUUAAACACUUCAAUUUAUAAAAAUUAUAUUAAUUAAAUACUUCAACUUGUAAAAAUUAUUCUAUUGAAAACUCUAAUUUAUAAAAUUAGAUUAAUUAAAUUCUUAUUGAAUAAUUAAAAGAUGUUAAAAUUAUUAUUGCAAAAAUUAUAUUAACCACAUCAAGUAAAUAUUUACUUGUAAAUACAAAAAACACACACACAAAGAAAAAAAAAACUAUCACUACUAAUAUUAAGAGGGGUAGAAUGUUAUUAAAAAAUUAUAACAUUUAUAUGAAGGGUCACUGUUUCUUUUGAGAAAAGAUGGCGGUUGAAGAAAGUGGUGGUGAUAGUGUUGGGUGAUAGUUUGGAUUGGGUUCCAUAAUUAUUUUCUCCAGCACAAUGCAUAAAUUUAUCUCUGUAUUUUUAAGUAAAUAAUAUUGUAGCACUUUUAAUUUUUAUUUUGACAUAUUAAAUACAUCAAUUCAUAAAAUUGUACUAAUAAACUACUUCAGUUUGUGAAAAUUAUUCUAUUGCAAAAUCGAAUUUGUAAAGUUGAAUUUAUUAAACAUUUACUGGAUAGUUAAAACACGUGAAAAUUAUUAUUUCAAAGAUUGUGUUAACCACACAUCAAGUAAAAAUUUUACACAUAAAUACCAAAAACAUCCAAAAAUUAAUAUUACUAGUAUGGAAGGGAAUAAGAUAUUAUCAAAAUUGGUAAAUGAAAAUGAUUUAUAUAUAUGGCUUCUUGUAAAUGAAAAUGAUUUAUUUUCUUAAAAAAAUAGUAUAAAUUUAAAUAUUUUGAACUAAUGUUUGAUGACUUUAAGUGAUUAUUUAGCCUAUUACUUAAUUUGUAUACAAAAGUAAAAUGCAUAUGUGCUCAUAUUCUUAUGAGAUGCAUCAAUUUUUUAAUUAUUAUUUAAGAUGAAUUAGUCCACUAAAACAAUCUCUAACUGUAAUUUUGAAAAUUUAUUUUUCACUGUCAAAGGAGACUUUAAUUACGUUUAUUUGCACUAAUUAUAAUUAUUAGAUGUACAUUGUCAAUAAUUAUAUAAGUACCUGUCUAUAGAAAUGCACUAAUUAUAAUUAUUAGAUGUACAUAGUCAAUAAUUAUAUAAAUAUCUGUCUAUAGAAAUUAAGGGUAAAUAAAGAAAAAUGGAAUCAAAAUGUAACUUAUGGAUGAGAUUUGCCUACUUGGUGUAUAGUACAACCUAUAUAUCAAAUUUUAAAAAAAAUUUUAAUUAUUAUUAUUUUAUCUUUUUUCUCGUGAAUGAUUAAAAAUACCUAUAUUAAAAAAAUUAUUUUCGAUUUAUUUAGAGCCUAUUUGGACAAAUGAAUUCCAUAAAAUUUUGUGAAAUUCGUUUAGAAAUCCAAAAUAUUGUGUUAGGAAUGAAAAAAAAAUACAAAUUUGGAUUCUACGAAUUGAAUUCUAUGGAAUUGGGUAUGCCUAACUCAAAUUCUACUAAAAUUGAUAGAAUUUGUACAUAAAUUCCAAAAAAUUUAACCACUAAAAUUUUAUUGACAAAAUUACCCUCAACUAUAAACUCAGCUAUUUUUACUUUUUUUUUUCUUUAUUUUAAAUUAUAGCAUACCAAAUAUGACAAAUUCAUUUGCAAAUGAAUUCUACUUAUAAAUGAAUUCUACUUGGAUUCAUUUGUUCUAAACGGACCGUUAAUGUAUAAGUGGAGUUUACAAAACAUGUGUAGAUAAGUUCUCACAUAUUAUUACAAAUGUGUCCCGCCCAUAAGUGAACCACUGUAAAUUUAAAAUGUGUCCCCAAUAAUUUGAAAUGGGUCCCACUUAAGCAAGUGGGUGCAUGUCUAUAAAAACCCACUUAAGCAACACUUGAAGCACCACACUACUCUUUACAUUCUUUCGUCUUCAUAUUUCAAAAGCUCUCUAAUAUUAAGCGAUGGCUGUGUCUCCAAUCCAGUCGGUGCUUGGGAUGUUGGGUGUUAUGUCCACGGCACAGCGUCAAACUGGGUUGAAUAUCAGCUCAUUUUACCCACCUGUUGCACAACUUCUUGGCACCGUAUUGUUGGGUUAAGUCCUUUACCGCUUCUGGAUGAAGACUGAAGCUUGUGUUUGUGUUAUCCUUUUAAGUAAUGUUAAUAAGCAUGGCUUUGACUGAUCCACCAUCUCCACUGGAGUGUGUGUGUGAAUCUCAAUGCUAUGAGCAAAUAAAUUCUGUCUUUAUGUACUUCUAUUUUAUGUGUUUUUAAUAAAUCAGUCUUUCCAGUGCGGUCAAACAGUUAUCAAAUAUCUUUGCUUAAAAAUAUUUGAACAAAUAAUUUGUUUCCUCAACAAAAUAUUUGAAAUAUAUAUUAAUAUAUGUUUUAAUUCAAGACUUAAAAAUAUGUUGCCUAAAUACUUUAUAUUUGAAACAAUCGAAUUAAUCUUUAACAAGACACGAAACAUAAA